GCAUUGGUGGUCCAGUGGUAGAGUUCUCGCCUCCCACGUGGGAGACCUGGGCCCGGUUCCCAGCCAAUGCA
rfam:Danio rerio chromosome 4, GRCz11 reference primary assembly.